CCUAUAAAUGAUCCUAGACUACCCGGCCAACCAGGCCACCUGAGAGGGGCAAACGCUUGUUAGCCGUUCGAUCCGGGCGCACAGUAAAUUGCUCCUCCCGCUUUUCACUGCAACCGUUCGAUGUGGUAAUUUUUUGUGCACUUUUUUCUCUUUGAAACGAGGCAAUGACUUAUGGGACCAGUUGUCUGUGGUACCCACGGGUCGGAGGCAGCCACGCUCGCUCGUUUGAGUCGCCUUCUUUCUCCUACGCGCGUGCGCUAGUAAAAACCCUAGAUCGCGGGACGCCCAAUCCCCGCGUCUCCUCUCCUCCCCAAUCCCCGGUUCUCCUCUUUCCCCAAACCGCCGCCACGAUCGGCGGCGGCUGGCCGUGCGCGCCCUCGAGUUCGUCCAGCCGCGGUUGCCCGCGCGCCCUCGAUUUCAUCCAGCGGCGGGUGGCCGCGCACGCCGGCGGCGGAAGGCAGCAACCGAGCGGCGGCGGCUGCUGGCCACGCGCGCCCUCGAUUUCGUCCAGGCGUCCAGCGGCGGCGGCGGCAGAAGAGAGCAAAAGAGCGGCGGCGGCUGGAUGCGCGGUCGCGCGCGCACUCGAUUUGGUCCUCGGCACCCCUCGCGUGGACGAUGGUGGCCGGCCGGCGUCCAGGCCGUGUGCUUCAGCGGCGGCGGCCAUGGAGGAAUCUGGCCGCACGGCGUUGACCAAGGCUAGGGCUGAGCCGGGAGGUGCUCGAGGAGGUUGACCUCUGCCGGCUCGCCCCGACGUCCAUGGCGACCGGCAUGGAUGGGCGACCACACUGGCAGAGGCGCUUGCUCAGCGGGAGGGCGGCCACGAAUACCCAUGGCAGCAUACUCUGCGCAACCAGAAGGAGUUGCCGACGAGGACCAACAUGCCUCUCGGUUCUUGAUGGAUUCUGAGGAGGAUAAAAGCAUUCUGGAACAGUAGAGUUAUGGUGUUAUCUAAACCAUUUUCAAGGGGAGGAAGAUGGAUUCAGAGGCGGAUCACUGGGCUAUGAGGGAUGUGGAGUAGAGUACUUGAUGGAUUUCUUGCAAUGUUGCUUGAAUGAUUCAUGGAAGUUAGAAGCUGGGGUGGUCUUGGCGACGCUCGUUAGCUCGUCCUCGUUCUCUUGGAGGACGGCGUCCUUGUGCGGGUCUCUGCGCUCACGGGAACGCCUCCACGCCCCACUACACGGCCUCCGGCGUCGUCCCGUAGCUUGACCCUCGCUGCCGGCCUGCCGCACGCUUCUCCCAGGCACCACGGUGUUGGGGACGGAGCACGUGACGUCAAGAGGUUUGCUGCAGCACUGCUCGGUCUCGAGGUAGUCUGGGUGAGGCGGGUUCAGCACUUCAGCUCUGAUCCAUGACCUCCUUCAUGCUCCAGAUCAAGCCCUCCAUCAAGUAGAUGCUGCCCCUCUGAAUAAGAUUGGAUUUUGAUGAACCCAAGCAGUACUCCUCUCUGCGUUUCUCUCAUUUGUCAGGAGACCCAAAAUGGUUGUACCUUGCAUCUUGGUAUCGUGCAUCUGCUGUCAGGAUUCUACGAUUCUACCUAUGUUCUACCGGUGCAAUAUUUGGGAUACAGUAUACCUUUUUAAUCUGCGUAUGUCGGUGAGCUGCAAGUGAAUGGCCUGAUUAGUGAUGCACUGGCUCCUUAAAAGUGCAGAAAUGACAUAUAUUGAAAAUUAAUUAAGGAUCAUCUACAUGAUUAUACAUCUAUGAUUGAUUGAGUGUUGUUUUUGUGCAAGUUGAAUUUGCUCUUACACAUCCAUGGCUCCAUGGCUCCAUGCCCGUGUCUUUUAGUAUUAAAAACUUGUUUCCCUUUGUCUCUGGCCGAAUGUAUAAUUUUUACAGAACUAACUUAUAUUAGCAUUUGAGGAAUACUCGUUUAUAUUGGCUACCUACCUUUAUUUCAAAUAAACUUCUUUCAGAUGGAUUGAUGGUGAACAAUCUGAAUCCCUAACCAUUUACAUGCCUAAUUUUUUUCCAGCUGGACUAUUUCCAUACUAGCAAAAAGUUGGGGAAUUUGCUCCUCCGUCCGUUGAAUAAUGAGCGAGCCAAAAUCAUGUCUAUCUGUUCCCAGGCAGCUAGACCAUAUCUCUGUAAAAAAAAAUAGCUAGGUUGUAUAUUGUUUGAGCAUGCACCAAGGCAACCUUGUUUUCUAAUUGAUACCAGAAUAUGUCAAUGCUUGAAGCCAUUGGCUAAAUCAAAGAGGUUAUAGCCCUUUUUCUCUUCUUCACGGGAAAUCAGAUGAGGAGAGUGGCAGCAGUCAGAGGUUGGAGCCCUCUCCAAUGCGUCGAUUUCUAUCCUGAUCAUUUAUACAUACAGCCUGGUUUUUGCUGCUGUGGGUGGGCUUGGACCGGUUUGGUUUUCUGCUAAGGCCCUUUAUACAAAUGAACAUAGUUCAUUCAUCAGCUAUGAGGUCCACAGAGAAGAAGAGUAUGUAGCGAGGUUAUUCGUCAAAAGUAUUUUCAAACCAUGGCACAUCUAAUUAGAAUGGAGGAGGAGGGGUGUGAUUGGACCAGGAGAAUCCAUGUGAGGCCGAUCUGGUUCUUUUCGCAUGGGAUUGGAGGCGCUUGAUGGCGGGGUCACGGUGCGGCUGGGGUGUGGACGGCUAGCUUCGAGGAUGGGGUGGGUAGCAAGAGAAAAAUGGGAAAAUGAGAGAUUUUGUGUGCUUUCGUUUGAACCGGGAAUUAUUUUUGGGGUACAUAUUCUGAAAUGAUUGAUGCAAGCCCAUGAUCUUCUCCGAUGAUUUAUGUUUUCCAAGCUUGUUUCCCAGGCAUGAACAAUUAAUAUUAAGGGGUGGCCACAGCAUGGCGGAGCAAUCAGAAACUUCAGAUUUGAUGUGAAGUUGAAGCAUGGGGCGAAAGUAACUUGUGCCCCUUCCCCAUACUGCCUGCAUAUGCAGCUCACGCCCAUGGCCUCACCGUCUAGGGCCUAGAUUUGGAGGAGGAAGAGAAUACCCCAGUGAACAUCGAGUAUGCUGGCAGUAUUUGUUAUAUUCUGUUAUGAUUUGAUGGCAUGGUUCUACCUCAUUAUUGUGCAGUGCAUUCAAACCUGCUGUUGCUUUCUUCCAAGCCAGAUUCUUGUGUUUACGGUUGACACCUGCUGGUAGUCCUCCUCAGUCCUAACCUGGACGGUAGUGGAGGCGUGGAUGUUGCAGACGCUGAUGGCUCCGAGGCGCUCGAGCAAAUGGCCCCUUCAUCUCCCAUCAAGUGAUCCAAGGAUGGCAGGUAUAUCAGCUCCAUUGCAUGGUGGGUUAUCUCAAAAUGAUCCUUUAGAAGAUUGUGUGGUGACCAACCUUUGCUUUUUUAGAUGAUUGACGAGAUUGUACAUUGGUCUCCAACUGUUGGUUGGCUUGCUGUUUGGGGAUGAUGACGGAAAACGGCCCUAGCGGUUCGUUGCCUUGUCCUCUUCUCUCUCCCACCAUCCCAACACCAUUCCCUCUCCCACACAUUCUUCCUGAUCUAUUUUUUGCACCGCGUGAGAAGGAGGGGCGGCUUCAGUGGAAGGACUAGGCGGCGUCUAGCGCGUAAGGGAGCAGGCUGGAAGGGCCAAUUUUUUUGGGGGUCUGAUUGUUGUUGUUCUGGGUUGACUACCACAUUAACUGAGUUGUGUCCUCCUGCAAAGUAUGAAACACCAUCAUGUCUCCCUCCCUGUCAAGCACCGCCAAGGCAGCAAAGUGCUAUUCAUAUCUACAUAUUUAUUUUUCUGCAACAGAAAGAAUAAUGGUUUAUAUAGGAAAAGAAGGGUGUGGUUGUUGUAUGGUUACAAGUCAAAGGAAAGCACAUCAAUUGUUGUAGUUCAUAGGAUAGAGCUUUAUUGGUUGUAGAGUUUGGGGUUUCGAAAUGUUUUGCUGCCUCUGAUAAUUGGCAGUUGUUCAUUUUGUAGAUUGAUUUGGCUUUUCUCAUAUUCCAGGUAGGCUAGCGUCCUUUGUAUCACUGCUUUACCUCUAGCCUCAAUUGAAUGUAUUGUGUUAGCAUUUUGAAAUAACAACAUAUUGUCUUAGGGUUCUCAAAUGUUUAAUCUGUU